ensembl:lncRNA novel transcript, antisense to CTNNA3
AUUUCUGCUCUCAAACAGUUUAAAAGAUCCCUGUGCAGAAAAAGACGUAUUUAGAACAUUUUGGUUGGUGAUAUGUAACAAACUUGAGAUCUUAUAGGAUAGGAGAACACUAGGACACUAAUUAGGAACUGGUCCCAGGAACAAAGACCUUCUGGACUCAUCUGACAAGAUAAGAAUCAUCAAGCAUUCUUCCAGCAGAAAGUGACAAAGCCCUCCUUGAGCUGCUCAUGAGAAUUCACAAAGAUCCCCUGCUAUAUGACCCUACUUGCCCAAUACUCCACUUCAUCAAGGUGAAGUGACCCACCAAGAGAGACUUUCAGGGUCUGGGCAUUACCAGAUAAAAGAUGCCUAUUUUAUUCUGGCUGAAAGCAUGAACAGAAUAAACAAUGAGCUCUGUGAAGAAUGUUCUAUGAACCCGAAUCAAACUCAAACUCCUGUGUCACUCCGGUACGCCUGAUCACUGGAUAUAACCACGUAUUGGUCCAGAACCUCCCUCUCUGUUACUACUCCCUUUGGAUUUAUCCAGUAGUCUUAGACGUCACCAGGGCCAAGCCAUGCA